rnacentral:rRNA from 1 species
UACGUAGGGCGCAAGCGUUGUCCGGAAUUACUGGGCGUAAAGCGUGCGCAGGCGGUGAUGUAAGACCGAUGUGAAAUCCCCGGGCUUAACCUGGGAACUGCAUUGGUGACUGCAUCGCUCGAGUAUGGCAGAGGGGGGUAGAAUUCCACGUGUAGCAGUGAAAUGCGUAGAGAUGUGGAGGAAUACCGAUGGCGAAGGCAGCCCCCUGGGUCAAUACUGACGCUCAUGCACGAAAGCGUGGGGAGCAAACAGG